rnacentral:pre_miRNA from 1 species
AAAAACUCAAUUCCUAGGUUUCUGUGUCUAACGUUUAACCGUCUAUCUUAUUUAAUUUUUUUUUAAAAAAAAUAAAAGAUAAGUCAUGCAUAAAGUAUUAUUCAUGUUUUAUCAUCUAACAAUAAUAAAAAUAGUAAUUAAAAAAAAUUUAUAUAAAAUAAACGGUUAAAUGUUGGACACGAAAACCCAAGAAUUGAGUCUUU